GUGCUUAACACAUGCAAGUCGAACGAUGAAGACCGUGCUUGCACGGUUGGAUUAGUGGCGAACGGGUGAGUAUCACGUGAGUAACCUUCCCUUAACUCUGGGAUAAGCCCGGGAAACUGGGUCUAAUACCGGAUACGACCAGUCCUCGCAUGGGGUGCUGGUGGAAAGAUUUAUCGGUUUUGGAUGGACUCGCGGCCUAUCAGCUUGUUGGUGAGGUAAUGGCUCACCAAGGCGAUGACGGGUAGCCGGCCUGAGAGGGUGACCGGCCACACUGGGACUGAGACACGGCCCAGACUCCUACGGGAGGCAGCAGUGGGGAAUAUUGCACAAUGGGCGAAAGCCUGAUGCAGCGACGCCGCGUGCGGGAUGACGGCCUUCGGGUUGUAAACCGCUUUCAGCAGGGAAGAAGCGAAAGUGACGGUACCUGCAGAAGAAGCGCCGGCUAACUACGUGCCAGCAGCCGCGGUAAUACGUAGGGCGCGAGCGUUAUCCGGAAUUAUUGGGCGUAAAGAGCUCGUAGGCGGUUUGUCACGUCUGCUGUGAAAGCCCGGGGCUCAACCCCGGGUGUGCAGUGGGUACGGGCAGACUAGAGUGCAGUAGGGGAGACUGGAAUUCCUGGUGUAGCGGUGAAAUGCGCAGAUAUCAGGAGGAACACCGAUGGCGAAGGCAGGUCUCUGGGCUGUUACUGACGCUGAGGAGCGAAAGCAUGGGGAGCGAACAGGAUUAGAUACCCUGGUAGUCCAUGCCGUAAACGUUGGGCACUAGGUGUGGGGAACAUUCCACGUUUUCCGCGCCGUAGCUAACGCAUUAA
rnacentral:rRNA from 1 species